CUACGGGUGGCAGCAGUGAGGAAUAUUGGUCAAUGGCCGAGAGGCUGAACCAGCCAUCCCGCGUGCAGGAUGACGGCCCUAUGGGUUGUAAACUGCUUUUCUACGCCAAGAAAUCUGAUUACGUGUAAUUAGUUGACGGUAGCGUAGGAAUAAGCAUCGGCUAACUCCGGGCCAGCAGCCGCGGUAAUACGGAGGAUGCAAGCGUUAUCCGGAUUCAUUGGGUUUAAAGGGUGCGCAGGCGGGCUUGUAAGUCAGUGGUGAAAUACUGCCGCUUAACGGUAGAACUGCCAUUGAUACUGCAAGUCUUGAAUAUGGUUGAGGUAGGCGGAAUGUGUUGUGUAGCGGUGAAAUGCAUAGAUAUGACACAGAACGCCGAUUGCGAAGGCAGCUUACUAAGCCAUUAUUGACGCUGAGGCACGAAAGCGUGGGGAGCGAACAGGAUUAGAUACCCGGGUAGUC
rnacentral:rRNA from 1 species